GACACCUCAGUUGGUAGAGCAUGAAACUCUUAGUCUCAGGUUCAUGGGUUUGAACCCCAUGUUGGGCA